AAUGAACGCUGGCGGCAGGCCUAACACAUGCAAGUCGAACGGAUCCUUCGGGAUUAGUGGCGGACGGGUGAGUAACGCGUGGGAACAUACCCUUUGGUACGGAAUAGCCUCGGGAAACUGGGAGUAAUACCGUAUGUGGUCGAGAGACGAAAGAUUUAUCGCCAAAGGAUUGGCCCGCGUUGGAUUAGGUAGUUGGUGGGGUAAUGGCCUACCAAGCCGACGAUCCAUAGCUGGUUUGAGAGGAUGAUCAGCCUCACUGGGACUGAGACACGGCCCAGACUCCUACGGGAGGCAGCAGUGGGGAAUCUUAGACAAUGGGGGAAACCCUGAUCUAGCCAUGCCGCGUGAUCGAUGAAGGCCUUAGGGUUGUAAAGAUCUUUCAGGUGGGAAGAUAAUGACUGUACCACCAGAAGAAGCCCCGGCUAACUCCGUGCCAGCAGCCGCAGUAAAAC
rnacentral:rRNA from 1 species